UACAGAGGGUGCAAGCGUUAAUCGGAAUGACUGGGCGUAAAGGGUGCGUAGGUGGUUGAUUAAGUUUCAUGUGAAAUCCCCGGGCUCAACCUGGGAACUGCAUGGGAAACUGGUUGGCUAGAGUAGAGUAGAGGUGAGUGGAAUUCCCGGUGUAGCAGUGAAAUGCGUAGAGAUCGGGAGGAACAUCAGUGGCGAAGGCGACUCACUGGACUCAUACUGACACUGAAGCACGAAAGCGUGGGGAGCAAACAGG
rnacentral:rRNA from 1 species